rnacentral:rRNA from 1 species
GGCGCCGGCGCACGGGUGAGUAACACGUAUCCAACCUGCCGAUGACUCGGGGAUAGCCUUUCGAAAGAAAGAUUAAUACCCGAUGGCAUAGUUCUUCCGCAUGGUAGAACUAUUAAAGAAUUUCGGUCAUCGAUGGGGAUGCGUUCCAUUAGGUUGUUGGCGGGGUAACGGCCCACCAAGCCUUCGAUGGAUAGGGGUUCUGAGAGGAAGGCCCCCCACAUUGGAACUGAGACACGGUCCAA